CUAUAAUUUCUUAAUAAUCCCCUUGUAUUUCACUUUGUCUUUUAAUGACACUCAACACCUUGUAACAAAAAGGUAUUGUUGAUUUUUAAUAGACUAUUCAGAGGAAGACGUAGCAUCCAUCGUAGACAUAGGCACUCUAAAGCAUUGAGAAACUUGCUGCAAGACUGUAAACUCUUCACACAGUACGAUAAUGCUAUUUCUUUCUACUAAAUCGAUACUUUUUCUUCCUCCUAAUGUAUUGGUACGAUUCUCUCUCCUUGCACUACCAACUCACUCACUUCUUCCACCACCCCGUUACUCCCUUGUUACUCCCUCAUAAUUACUCUAUUAUUUCGUCUACCUUGUAGUUUGAUUUGA